rnacentral:rRNA from 1 species
GGCUUUUUGAUUAUGAUUUAAGGUUUAACCUGCCCACUGAAUAUUUAAAGGCCGCAGUAAUUUGACUGUGCAAAGGUAGCAUAAUAAAUAGUUUUUUAAUUGAAAGCUGGAAUGAAUGGUUGGACGAGAAAAAUACUGUCUCUUUAAUACUUUUGUUAGAAUUUUACUUUAAAGUUAAAAGGCUUUAAUGAUUUUUAAAGACGAGAAGACCCUAUAGAGUUUUACAUUACUUUAAUUUAUGUUUAUGGAAAUUUAAAAAUUUAUUAUUUGUUUUGUUUAGUUGGGGUGACUGGAAGAUUUGUUAAACUCUUUUUUAUUUUUACAUUUAUUUAUGAAUUAUUGAUCCAUUUUUUUUUGAUUAAAAGAUUAAAUUACCUUAGGGAUAACAGCGUAAUCUUUUUAAAGAGUUCAAAUCGAAAAAUUGGAUUGCGACCUCGAUGUUGGAUUAAAGUUAAUUUUUGGUGGAGAAGCUAAAAUAUUAGGUCUGUUCGACCUUUAAAAUUUUACAUGAUCUGAGUUUAAACCGGUGUGAGCCAGGUUGGUUUCUAUCUUUAAAUAUUUAUUAUUUUUUAGUACGAAAGGACCAAAAAUUUAUUAAAUUAAUUUUAUUAUGAAUAUUAAUGUUGCUUUGGCAGAAUAGUGCAAUAGAUUUAGAAUCUUUUUAUGUAAUUUUUACAGGUAAUAUUUGUUUUUUAAGGAUUAUAUUUUAGUUGUUUUUAGAACGUUAAUUUUGAUUAUUUUUGUAUUAAUAGGAGUUGCUUUUUUAACUUUACUUGAGCGUAAGGUAUU